rfam:Gossypium hirsutum cultivar TM-1 chromosome 20, whole genome shotgun sequence
UGUUAAAAACUUAAUUCAUUUUUACUGUUAAAAACUGACGCAGCUAACAGAAUAAUCAAAUAAUUACAUGUGUUGUGCUACGUGUACUUCAUUAUAACGUAUAGGAGUUAGUUUUAACAAUAAAAAUGAACGUAAUUUUUAAUA